AUUGAACGCUGGCGGCAGGCCUAACACAUGCAAGUCGAGCGGAUGAAGGGAGCCUGCUCCUGGAUUCAGCGGCGGACGGGUGAGUAAUGCCUAGGAAUCUGCCUGGUAGUGGGGGAUAACGUCCGGAAACGGGCGCUAAUACCGCAUACGUCCUGAGGGAGAAAGUGGGGGAUCUUCGGACCUCACGCUAUCAGAUGAGCCUAGGUCGGAUUAGCUAGUUGGUGGGGUAAAGGCCUACCAAGGCGACGAUCCGUAACUGGUCUGAGAGGAUGAUCAGUCACACUGGAACUGAGACACGGUACAGACUCCGACGGGAGGCAGCAGUGGGGAAUAUUGGACAAUGGGCGAAAGCCUGAUCCAGCCAUGCCGCGUGCGUGAAGAAGGUCUUCGGAUUGUAAAGCACUUUAAGUUGGGAGGAAGGGCAGUAAGUUAAUACCUUGCUGUUUUGACGUUACCAACAGAAUAAGCACCGGCUAACUUCGUG
rnacentral:rRNA from 1 species